GAGUAAUAUAUAGUUAAUGUGCCUCGAAGACCGGGAUAGCCAUUGAAGCGAUGAUUAAUACUGGAUAUACCUACUAAUCAUAAGUUUAGUAGGGAAACGUUUUUUCGCUUCGAGAUCAGACUAUAUCCCAUCAGUUAGUUGGUAGUGUAAGAGACUACCAAGGCAAUGACGGGUAGCGGGUUUGAGAGGAUGAUCCGCCACACUGGUACUGAGACACGGCCCAG
rnacentral:rRNA from 1 species